AUUGAACGCUGGCGGCGUGCCUAACACAUGCAGGUCGAGCGGCAGCACGGGAGCAAUCCUGGUGGCGAGCGGCGGACGGGUGAGUAAUGCUUUGGAAUCUGCCCAUCAAUGGGGGACAACCCGGGGAAACUCGGGCUAAUACCGCAUACGUCCUACGGGAGAAAGCGGGGGAUCGCAAGACCUCGCGUUGAUGGAUGAGCCAAAGUCGGAUUAGCUAGUUGGUGGGGUAAUGGCCCACCAAGGCGACGAUCCGUAGCUGGUCUGAGAGGACGACCAGCCACACCGGAACUGAGACACGGUCCGGACUCCUACGGGAGGCAGCAGUGGGGAAUAUUGGACAAUGGGGGAAACCCUGAUCCAGCGACGCCGCGUGGGUGAAGAAGGCCUGCGGGUUGUAAAGCCCUUUCGUUGGGGAAGAAAAGUUGCUACCUAACACGUAGCGACCUUGACGUUACCCAAAGAAGAAGCACCGGCUAACUCUGUGCC
rnacentral:rRNA from 1 species